CACAGGGGCAUUUGGUGGAGAGGUUCAUACAUACUCAUCCUGCUUGGAGGUGCAAACUGAGUUGUCGGAGAAGUCAUAUUACCAACCUUUGAAGGAAAAUACAAACACAAGGACUCUCAAACGAGCGACAAGUGUGAUCAGGGAUUGUCCCGAACUUUUCGGAGGGGCUUAUUAGGAAGUGCCAGCACAACAGGGGAAGCUUUGGAAGCUAGAGCUACAGAAAGGAAAUCGCACGGUAAAGUCGUGGAGAUUGUGUGCUCGCUAGCUUGGUCACGAUAGUGGAAUAGUGAUGCUGAUUCAGAGACAGUAAAAGAUGAAUUGCAGUCCAACUUUUCCUGCAAGAAACAUCGAGGUUGCGCCAAUGCUCGUAUGCAUUGUGGUUUUGCACAAAGACAUUGAUAACUACAAAUGGUAUGGAUCAUUAAGUUAAUUAUAUCUCUCCAAAGUGUUUUAUGCAUUCUCCUUUCACUAAGCUCUUUCUUUCUUGUUGUCUUUGUUUUUUUUAAAUAUCCUUUUUGUCUCGGAUCAUUAGAUGUGUAAAUAGAGUCUUAAUUCACUUAUGACUCUUCCAAAUGAAGAAAGCCAAAGAAAAGCAGUGGCCCUAAGCUUUUACCUGCCCAAUUAUCUUAGCUUUUGUGCAAAAAGUAAAAUCCGAAAGCAAGAAUUAUCUCCACUAAAAAUAUGGGAACUCUCUGAGGCCACAAAAAAACAAAAACUGAUCAAAUAAAAAUAAUAGAGAAAUGUAGAGUUAAAAAGUGUUGUUGUAAGGUUGAAUCUAAACCAAGAUUCUGCGUAU